rnacentral:lncRNA from 1 species
GCGACCUAGAACUUAAAAGUAUUCCCGCAUUAUACUGGUGGGCGACCUAGAACUUAAAAGUAUUCCCGCAUUUUACUUGUGGGCGACCUAGAACUUAAAUGUAUUCCCGCAUUUUACUGGUGGGCGACCUAGAACUUAAAGUAUUCCCGCAUUAUACUGGUGGGCGACCUAGAACUUAAAUGUAUUUGAAAUUGUUUCCCCGUUCUUCCGAGAAAAUUUUGACAAUCGGUAGAAAAUUUUCUGCCCCGGUUUUUGGUGACAUCCCUGGCGUUUCCUCUCGCUGCCAUCAUCAAUCC